rnacentral:misc_RNA from 1 species
GGCCUCUUCAAAACCCCUUAAAUUAUAACUUAUAAUAUCUCCAAUACUUGCAAAAUACAAAGGAAAAAAAAAUGGUUAGUCCAUCCAUUAAUUCCCAUAAUUUUCCUCUAAAAUUCCUUUGUAGCUAUGGUGGCAAGAUUAUCCCCCGUCAAACCGAUGGAAAACUCCGGUAUUAUGGUGGCGAAACUCGUGUCCUCUCCGUUGAUCGUUCCAUUUCAUUCACAGAACUAUUAGUGAAGCUAGGGGAGAUGUGUGGAUCGUCAGUGAGUUUAAGAUGUCAGUUACCAAACGAAGAUCUAGAUGCUCUUGUAUCGAUAACAUCUGACGAAGAUUUAGCCAAUUUAAUCGAAGAAUAUGAUCGUGUUUCAAAAAUAUCAUCGUUUCUCAAGAUGAGGGCUUUUUUAUAUCCACCAAAAUCCACAAAAAAAGUUGUAUCUCCUACACCUUCUAUUGCUUCUACCUCAUCUACCAAUAGUACCACUAUCAGCAACCCUGAUGUCACGUCAUCACCAAGUUCAUUUUGUUCAACCGUUACUAGCCCUCCUACAUCAACGAGGCAUCAUGAUUGUCCAAGACCAUAUAAGAAAAUGGCACGAAAUUCUUUAGAUGAAACAAUUAGCGGACGCAUACGUCAUAUUAGAACAAGAUCGUCACCGGUGAUGUUUCCUAUUUGUCAUGAGAAAGUCACGGCCAAGAUUCCUCAAUAUGCUUAUCAUCAUAGUCAUGGGAAUAAUAGUAGACAUAUUUAUUUGAUUCACCACGGCAACCAAUAUUGGCAAUAACAUUUGAUAUUUUCAAUGGACAAGGGCAAUAUUGGAACAUAUAUAUACUUUUUAUAUAGAGAAAAAAAAGAAAACCCCAUCAAGAAAAAAAAAAAGAGGAUGAUAUAUAUAUAUAUAUAUUCUUAUGUAAGAAGAGAGUGUAUAUGUCAAUAACAAAUUGGUAGUUUUUGUGUCAUAUAUAUUGAGGGUCCAAUUUUGUUUUUUAAUAAUUUGUCAUUGAUCUAUAGUACCAUGGAUGGAUA